GAAUACCAAAAAAAAAAACAUUUUCUCCCAAAUCAAUUAAUCUCUCCAUAACCUAGUUUCGUAUUCUCUCUCUUCUUUCAAGAACUCAAUCGAUCCGAGACGCUUCCAGAAAUUUCUGAAACAUCAAAUCCCUUCGAAUUUUCAGAUUAAGUUUCCUUUUCUCUGUUAUUCACCUGAAACCGAUCUGUCUGACGGGUUAGGGUUUCUCGCUCGUAGUCGUCGAGGUACGUCUCUGUCAAUGUUAAGGUUUCUCGCUCGUAGUCGUCGAGUUUUAUAACAUAAACAGAGAGUAAGCCUUCAAGAAGAAGAGACUCUGAACAAGAUUCUUCAAGUGAUGAAGCCUUUGGUGGACGAAAAAAUGAAGGAGAUUAGGUGUGGAUGACAAGCAGUCUGAAUUAGAGCAAAUGACACAACAUUACCUCAAAAGCAAUGAUGAAAACCUGUGAGUGAUCUUUGUUGGGCUUUGACUCCGCUUCACACUCUCUCUCUAAGGUAAAUUUCUCUCUAUGUCUUAGACUUUCCCGUUUCAUUUUGAAAGCGCUUUUAUUCCGGUUUUGUUUUGAGAUUCUUGACAUUUUUUAAAUCAGGAUUCCUUUUGAUUCUUCUUUUAAUAGGACCUUUAAAGCUUUUUUUGUUUUCUUAUGGUUUUAUCAGAACCAAGAUAUUAUGUAGACGUUCUUCUAGUGUUCUAACAAAUCUUGUUUGGCCACUGUUUUGAUUUUGGUUUUGUUUUUCAAACCCCAAAAGAGAUCAUAGACAGACACUAAUCUAAUAGUGUUCUGUUAGAUUCUUAUUUGGGAACAUUGUUUUGUUUUUAUUUUUCAAACCCCAAAAAAGAUCUUAGACAGACACUAAUAGUGUUCUGUCCGUUCUUAUUUGGGAACAUUGUCCCUUGCUGCCUCUAGAAGAAACUUAUGCCAUCCCCUAUAGUAAGAUUGUUAAUUGGACCGAGAAUAUGGGUUGGUAGUGCAUGUAUAAAGAAGGAUGUUAGGGGAUGGCAAAUAAGAGCAUUCGACUCAGUCUUAAAGACAAAAAAGUUUUAGUACCCACGGCUUGAGAAGAAUCUGUUUUCAGUUUACAUGCAUGGUUGCGGUUUGAGAAAGACUGACUAUAACUGAAAACAGAUUCUUUACCCACGGCUUACAAAUGUCUUGACAAAGACAAAGACAAUAUGAGGGGGCUUAAGACUUGUUGGAUUGGAAAUAACGACCAACAGCCCAGAAAAAGUGGCAUCUAGUGGAUGGAUAAUAAUACCACAUGGCUUACAAGCCUUUAAAGACAAGACUUUUACUACCCACGGCUUGAGAAGAAUCUGUUUUCAGUUAUUAGAAUUGUUGCGGUUUAAGAAAGUCUAAAGACAUAGGCUAUAAUUGAAAACAUAUUCAUUACCCACGGCUUACAAAUUCCUUCCUUACCCACGGCUUGAUGAGAAUCUGUUUUCAGUUAUUUGAACAAAGUCUAAAGACAUAGACUAUAACUGAAAACAGAUUCAUCAAGGGCUUACAAAUGUCUUGACAAAGACAAAGAUAAUAUGAGGGGGCUUAAGACUUGUUGGAUUGGAAAUAACGACCAACAGCCCAGAAAAAAAAGCAUUAGUGGAUGGAUAAUAAUACCACACGGCUUACAAGUCUUAAAGACAAGACUUUAAGUACCCACGGCUUGACAAGAAUCUAUUUUCAUGGUUACGUUUUGAAAAAGUCUUAAGACAAAGACUAUAACUGAAAACAGAUUACUUACCCACUGCUUAUAAAUGUCUUGACAAAGACAAAGAAAAUGUAGGAGAUUUAAGACUUGUUGGAUUGGAAAUAACGACCAACAACCCAUAAAAAAAGGCAUUAGUGGAUGGAUAAUAAUACCACACGGCUUACAAGCCUUAAAGACAAGACUUUAUACCCACGGCUUGAUGAGAAUAUGUUUUCAGUUAUUGGAGUGGUUACGGUUUAAGAAAGUCUAAAGACAUAGACUAUAACUGAAAACAGAUUCAUUACCCACAGCUUACAAAUGUCUUGACAAAGACAAAGAAACUGUAGGAGGUUCAAGACUUGUUGGAUUGGAAAUAACGACCAACAGCCCAGAAAAAGUCAUUAGUGGAUGGAAAAUAAGACCAUACGGCUUACAAAUCUUAAAGAAAAAGACUUUUACGAGAAUCUGUUUUCAGUUAUUUGAAUGGUACAGUUUGAGAAAGUCUUAAGGCAAGGACUUUAACUGAAAACAGAUUCCUUACCCACGGCUUACAAAGAUUCACUACCCACGGCUUGAUGAGAAUAUGUUUUCAGUUAUUUGAAAGGUUAUGGUUUGAGAAAGUCUAAAGACAAAGACUAACUGAAAACAGAUUCCUUACCAAUGGCUUACAAAUUUCUUGACAAAGACAAAGAAAAUAUGGGAGGUUUAAGACUUGUUGGAUUGGAAAUAACGACCAACAGCCCAGGAAAAUGUCAUUAGUGGAUGGAAAAUAAGACCACACGGCUUACAAGUCUUAAAGACAAAAGACUUUUACGAGAAAGUCUUAAUAUAAGGACUAUAACUGAAAAAAGAUUCCAUCCUUACCCACAUCUUACAAAAAUUUACUACCCACGGCUUGAUGAGAAUAUGUUUACGGUUUGAGAAAGUCUAAAGACAUAGACUAUAACUGAAAACAGAUUUCCGACCCACGGCUUACAAAUGUCUUGACAAAGACACAGAAAAUAUAAGAGGUUUAAGACUUGUUGGAUUGGAAAUAACGACCAACAACCCAGAAAUUCAUUAGUGGAUGAAAAAUAAAAGACCACACGGCUUACAAGUCUUAAGACAAAACACUUUUACUACCCACGGCUUGACGAGAAUCUGUUUUAGAUUAUAUGGAUGGAUAGAGUAAUGACCAACGACUUAAGAAGAUCUCAAGACAGAGACUACUAAUUGAAAACAGAUUCCCUAUUUCACUACUCAUGGCUUACAAAAGGCAGAUCGGUAAAAAGACUUGUUGGAUGGAAACAUAAUAUGAAAGACAAUGUCAAUGGGGCAGUUCUAAGCUUUGCUGGAUGGAAGUUAACGACCAGCUGCUUAGAAAAAGUUGUUUGAGGAUGGCAACUAAAACCAAAUGGCCUAUAAGUCUCAAGGCAAAAGACUGCGAUUUACUACCCACGGCUUCACUCCUCAUGGCUUACAAAAAAAGACUUGCUGGAUGGAAAUUAACGACCAGCUGAUUGUAACAAGUUAUCAAGGGUUGGCAGAUAAAACCAAACGGCUUUAAGCAUUAGAAGGAACAAGGUAAGCUUUGGGAAUACUAUGCAAGUAAAGACUAAUUAUUUUUAUUUUCUCAGGUUUGUGCUUCAGAAGGAGCAUGUUGUUUGAGAGAUUCCGAGGAAAUUUCAAGUGUAGCAGACUUAUGCAACAGGGUUGUGCUUCAGAAGGAGCAUGUUGAUUGAGAGAUUCUGAGGAAAUUUCAAAUGUAGCAGUUCUGCGACAGGUAUUUUGCUUUUCAAACCUCUUAACUUGCUUGACUCUAGAAACUAUACGGAUUAUAUCCACUAAACCCUUUGUUUAACUUUCUGAAUUUGGGGGAGUGACAUUCACGUAGUCGUAUUACUAAAUUUGGCUGUCGUAUGAGCUUCCUACAUUUCGCUUUCUGCAUUCAUUUGGUUGUUGUAUGCACAUUUUGCAUCAUAUCUUUACACUUCUGCUUUUUAUAUUUUACAAUACAUUCUGAAUCUACUACACUUAUGCAUUGAGCGUCUAACAUUUUGCAUCAUGUCUUUACACUUCGGCAUUCUAUAUUUUAUCACACAUUCUGUAUCUUACAAUACACUUGUGCAUUGAGCGUCCUAUAUUUUGUGUUAUGCUUCAUGUCUUUACACUUCUGUGUUCUUCAUUUUAUAUUUUACAAUACAUUUACUUCGGCGUUCUAUAUUUUAUAAUACAUUAUGUAUCUUACAAUACACAUGUGCAUUGAACGUCCUACAAUUUGCGUUAUGCUUUCAUGCCUUUACACUUCUGUGCUCUUCAUUUUAUAUUUUAUAAUACAUUUUGUAUCUUACAAUACACUUGUGCAUUGAGCGUCUUAUAUUUUGCAUUAUGCUUCAUGUCUUUACACUUCUGUGUUCUUCAUUAUGCUAAAUUUGGAUGUUUGAACACUUAUGGCAUUCCUCAUCGUGAUUCAUAUAUAAGAUUAAUAUAUUCUAUUUUUUAAAGGCUAUCCAUUAGCCGUACAUAGUUGAUGAGUUUCUGGAAAUCUAUUGAAUAAUGGUGUAU